GAACCUUACCAGGUCUUGACAUCCUUUGAAGCUUUUAGAGAUAGAAGUGUUCUCUUCGGAGACAAAGUGACAGGUGGUGCAUGGUCGUCGUCAGCUCGUGUCGUGAGAUGUUGGGUUAAGUCCCGCAACGAGCGCAACCCUUAUUGUUAGUUGCCAGCAUUCAGUUGGACACUCUAGCGAGACUGCCGGUGACAAACCGGAGGAAGGCGGGGACGACGUCAGAUUAUCAUGCCCCUUAUGACCUGGGCUACACACGUGCUACAAUGGCGUAUACAACGAGUUGCCAACCUGCGAAGGUGAGCUAAUCUCUUAAAGUACGUCUCAGUUCGGACUGCAGUCUGCAACUCGACUGCACGAAGUCGGAAUCGCUAGUAAUCGCGGAUCAGCACGCCGCGGUGAAUACGUUCCCGGGUCUUGUACACACCGCCU
rnacentral:rRNA from 1 species